rnacentral:tRNA from 1 species
CAUUAAGAAGCUAUGAACCAGCACUAGCCUUUUAAGCUAGAGAAAGGGGAUAUUUCCCCCUUAAUGA